rnacentral:lncRNA from 1 species
UAAACCCUAACUCCUAAUAUGACUCCUACUUAAGACUCUUACUUCUAACCAACUCCUAAUAGAACUCCUACUCAAGACUCCUAUUCCCUUACAACUCCUAAUUCUUCUCUAAGAAAAAACCUCCUACAUGAAUGUCCCUCUCAAUUAGGACUCUCCUAGCUAGAGUCCUAGCAGAAUGUCCCUCUCAAUUAGGACUCUCCUAGCUAAAGUCCUAACAAUUUUACAUGAAUGUCCCUCUCAAUUAGGACUCUCCUAGCUAGAGUCCUAACAAACCCGUCCUCUUCAAAUCAGCCUUGUCCUCGAGGCUGACGAUUCAUGAAUUUUGGGAAUUUGAUCUUCAAGUCAUCAUAGUUCUCUAAAGUGGCAUCUUCUGUUAGUUGGUUUGCCCACUGUAUUAGCAAUUCAGUAGUGGAUCGUCGUCGUCGAGUCAUAAUC